rnacentral:rRNA from 1 species
AACGGAUAGAGUUAACGAAACUUGGCGGCAUUCAACCGGUUUGCGUUGCGGCACUGAUGCUUUUAUGCCUCGAUGAGGGUAAAGUGUUGGUUGGCUGUAUGCGUAUUAAACGGUGUAUUUGCCGUCGGUAUGCGCUGAGAGGUUCGCUAUGAUACGUUAAUACGUGUUAAAGAGGACUAUACUUGUAUGAGUGUAGAAACCUUUACGCGUUGAGGCGUAUUCGUGGUGAAUUUUUGCAAUUUAUACGUUGUCUCGCUUGUGUGCGGCGGUUUUUGCGUGAUUUAUGUUACUAUUGAGCGGUCGCAUGCGACUUGCUUAUAGUGUUCAUGGAUCCGUAUUGAAAUGCAGUCGCGUUGGACGACGUUUCUCGGUGUGAAAGUUGACCACCUAUCCGACCCGUCUUGAAACACGGACCAAGGAGUCUAGCAUAUACGCGAGUCAUUGGGUGUUUUAAACCUAAAGGCGUAAUGAAAGUGAAUGCUGAAUUGAUCAGUUGAUAUGGGAUCCGUUUAGUUACGGCUAUGCGGCGCACCAUAGCCCCGUCUUUGUUGCUUGCAAUAGGGCGGAGGUAGAGCGUAUACGCUGGGACCCGAAAGAUGGUGAACUAUGCCUGAGCAGGAUGAAGCCAGAGGAAACUCUGGUGGAGGUCCGAAGCGGUUCUGACGUGCAAAUCGAUCGUCUA